rnacentral:rRNA from 1 species
GACGAACGCUGGCGGCGUGCUUAACACAUGCAAGUCGAGCGGUAAGGCCCUUUCGGGGGUACACGAGCGGCGAACGGGUGAGUAACACGUGGGUGACCUGCCCUCAGCUCUGGGAUAAGCCCGGGAAACUGGGUCUAAUACUGGAUAUGACUCCAUGACGCAUGUUGUGGGGUGGAAAGCCUUGUGCGGCUGAGGAUGGGCCCGCGGCCUAUCAGCUUGUUGGUGGGGGAUGGCCUACCAAGGCGACGACGGGUAGCCGGCCUGAGAGGGCGACCGGCCACACUGGGACUGAGACACGGCCCAGACUCCUACGGGAGGGCAGCAGUGGGGAAUCUUGCGCAAUGGGCGAAAGCCUGACGCAGCGACGCCGCGUGAGGGAUGACGGCCU